AGAAGAUGCUGGACAAAAGCAGUCGUAGGAUUUGACCCGGUGAAGGACCGUGAUUCAAUGGAGUAUGUCAAUGGCAUCUGUCGUUGAGCAGUUCUUCAGUAAGCAUAUUGAAGAUGGGGAGAGAAGAUGCCAGAAGGGAGAAGUCAUAGA